GACGAACCGUGCGAACGUUGUUCGGAAUCACUGGGCUUAAAGGGCGCGUAGGCGGGUCCUCAAGUCCGGGGUGAAAUCCUCUCGCUCAACGAGAGAACUGCCUUGGAUACUGAGGACCUCGAGGGAGGUAGGGGCAUGUGGAACUUCCGGUGGAGCGGUGAAAUGCGUUGAUAUCGGAAGGAACGCCGGUGGCGAAAGCGAUCCGCUGGACCUCUUCUGACGCUGAGGCGCGAAAGCCAGGGGAGCAAACGGGG
rnacentral:rRNA from 1 species